CAAUUAUAAGAUUUGAGAGAUCAUAGGAGGGAUCGAAGAAUAAGCAUUACACACACUUUUUGGAGAAGCAAUUAUUUGUUUCUAUUCCUAUAUUGUCUUUUUUGUUUUUUUUUUCUCUCUAAAAUAUAUACUUUUUGGGCUUAUUUGAAAAGCACUUUUAAUUAUGUCCAUGCUCAAAAAGCUCUUCUCCAAAAAGAACCAGCAUGGUGUUGUGGAUUUAGAGGAGAACACACAACAAGGUUCCAAGAAGAAGAAAUCAUCCAAACACACCAAAAAGAACACCAAAAAAGAAGAAGAACACCAACCCAAUCCCCCACAAGGUGACGGGCAUGGCGACGCCGUCGCGCAGGAGGACGACGACGGCGUCAGCAAGGCGAGCGACGUGAGCUCCGAGCACGGCAAUGGCGACGGCGAGGCGGAGCAAACCCUAAACCCGGAGGCGGCGGCGGCGGCGGAGGAGGCUCCGGAGCCGACGAAUUCGGAUGCCGAAGCAGGUAAAUUGGAGCACGAGGAGGAGGAGAAAGUGGUGGUGGAGCAAGGGGAUUCCCCUGUGGAGAAAACGUUCACUGUGAUUGAGGAGUCUAGGGUUAGGGUUUCGGAGGAGGAGGAUUCGUCAUCGUCAUCGGCAUCGGCGGCGGCUGCUUCCGGAGAACCUGAACCUAGGGUUUCGCCGAUUUCUGAAGCCGAUAAAGCCGUGGAUUUUGCGAAAACCGAGGUCAAGCCGCAUGCUACAUCAGCGGCACACCGCGCAACGUGGUGGAAUUGCUGCGGAAUCCUUGAUGUGUUUGUCGGAUCGAAGUGACAUUUUCAGGUUUCGUAGUGGUCUACUUAAAGUCGAUCGCGUGAUUACGAUAUCAAAAGAAGCAUCUUAGCCUCAACGAAAUUGAGGCACAGUGUAUCGAUUUCAAUUUCCCUUGUGUCCUGGGUUUUCUUAGAGUUUCGGUUUGAAGCAUUUUUGGUUUCGGUUUACGAUCAAACAAAUGAAGAGAACUUGUACUGGUUUCGGUUUCUGAUCUCGCACUUUGAUUGUUUGUCCGACCCAUGACGCUAAGUUUUUUACGAAACACUCAUAACUUGUUGAUAUUCAGUUUCCUUAUCUUUCGUAUGUUCAAGUUUCUGAAAAAAAAAAUCGUAUAAAUCCCAUAUUUCACAUGACAAGCCUCUCUUAUAUUAUGAUUUCUUGAUGCAGCAGCUAUAAUGCAUCGACGUGCUUUUAAAUGUUAUUGAGAUUAUUCGCAACAUAUAUAUGGCGCAUAUUGUUUCUGAUACUGUAUGCGGCUUUAAUCUAGUAUUUGGGGUGGUGGUGGUGAAACGCUCAUCGAGCGAACUAUUUCUCUCCUUGAUCGAGGCUUCGUUUUAUGUUUCCGAUGGAUCGUGUGACGUGAAAUCAAAUGCCGAUGUGAAGGAACAACCAUUUGAUUUUCUGUGAAUAUGUGAUUUUGUACUUUUGAGUUUCUUUGUGAUGUGUAUAAAUUUGAGGUUCUUGUGGAGAUGUAACUGCUGUUUUUGUACAUGGCCUCCAUGUGCUUCUUGUAAUUAUUUGUUUUAUUUACAUGGUUUUGUGUUGAUACUUAAUUUGUGGAAAAUGCACUUGUAAUGACUAUGUUAUUUAAUUAUAUGAAAAAGAGAACCCUAUGUUAUUUGUAUUA